UGAGGAACCAUCAUUAUCUUCACAGUUAC
rnacentral:piRNA from 1 species